GAUGAAGAACGUAGCGAAAUGCGAUAAGUAAUGUGAAUUGCAGAAUUCAGUGAAUCAUCGAAUCUUUGAACGCACAUUGCGCCCCUUGGUAUUCCGGGGGGCAUGCCUGUCCGAGCGUCAUUGCUGCCCUCAAGCACGGCUUGUGUGUUGGGCCUCCGUCCUCCUCCCGGGGGACGGGCCCGAAAGGCAGCGGCGGCACCGCGUCCGGUCCUCGAGCGUAUGGGGCUUCGUCACCCGCUCUUGUAGGCCCGGCCGGCGCUUGCCGACACAUCAAUCUUUUUUCCAGGUUGACCUCGGAUCAGGUAGGGAUACCCGCUGAACUUAAGCAUAUCAAUAGCGGAGGA
rnacentral:misc_RNA from 1 species